rnacentral:rRNA from 1 species
UACGUAGGGUGCGAGCGUUAAUCGGAAUUACUGGGCGUAAAGUGUGCGCAGGCGGUCGUGCAAGUCGCGUGUGAAAGCCCCCGGCUCAACUGGGGAGGGUCACGCGAUACUGUUCGACUCGAAGGCAGGAGAGGGAAGCGGAAUUCCCGGUGUAGUGGUGAAAUGCGUAGAUAUCGGGAGGAACACCAGUGGCGAAGGCGGCUUCCUGGCCUGUUCUUGACGCGGAGGCGCGAAAGCUAGGUAGCAAACGGG